UUGUGACAAGCUCAUUCCUUGCACACUGCACAAGAAGAAGAUAACCCAACUUAAAGUAGAGCUUGCUCCUCAUAUAGCCACACAACACCUGUACGUGACAACGCAAAAUUUUGAACCGAAACAAAAGAAAGAUAUCGCAGAACUUUUGAACCACGGAAAAAAAAAAGAAGAAGAAAAAGACAGCGUACAAAUUUUGAAACCCCGCCCCCGCACGCAAAAAAAAAAAAAAAAAACAAAGACAACGAAGAAUCUUUUAAUAAAAAUAACAAGGGAUUUUUACACUCUAUGUUAAUCAAGGCAAAAUAAUUAUCCGAUUUAGCCCACACUUUUUUACCCGUUUUGGCCGUUGGAGGUCCAUCUCCUUUAUCUUCCCUGCUAGACUCCAUCCGUUGGCUUUCGUUCUCACCACCAAUAAAGCAUCCUUUGAGAAGCUCAUUUUUUAGCUUUCAAGUAUAUCAUUUUUCACCCAAAACACCAGUCAAUAAUCGCACCCACCACCAUUAAAGCACCAUGUGAGAAACUCGUUUUUCAGCAUCAUCAUUGAGCUAUCUAGUGCAAUAGUAUUUUAAAGAUUUUGUGACAAAUGAUAUUAUUACUUGGAGAAGUGGCAAGUUAAAUUUUGUGUUGCAAAUUGCAUGGAAAGAUUUUGACACCUAAGUGACCAAGUGUCAUGUAGUGGCUUCAUGAAUCAAUGUGGCAAAGGAAGAAUUAUCCGGGUGGCCAGGGAGACAGGCUUGAUCCAUAGCUUUAUUACUCAGGGACUACAUAGCGGAGCUCCAUUUCAUUUGGAGCUACAGCUUUUGGUAUUUAUUAUUUUGUGUACAUAUUUACGGGCAUGGCGGGGUCCUGUCCCGCCUAUAUGAUAUGACAUACUCUCCUUAGAGGCUCGUAGACAUGUAAUAUGGUUGGGUGUAUUUGGCCUUGUCGGCCUAUAUUUUGGAUAUCAUUUUGUUAGCUUCGUCGGGUUAUGUACAUUGAUAUGGGCAUAGUUGCUAAUGAUGAUAUAAAUGUAUUGUUGCCUAA